rnacentral:rRNA from 1 species
GACGUAGGGCGCGAGCGUUGUCCGGAAUUAUUGGGCGUAAAGAGCUCGUAGGUGGCCUGUCGCGUCGGCUGUGAAAACUCGGGGCUCAACUCCGAGCUUGCAGUCGAUACGGGCAGGCUAGAGUUCGGCAGGGGGAGACUGGAAUUCCUGGUGUAGCGGUGAAAUGCGCAGAUAUCAGGAGGAACACCGGUGGCGAAGGCGGGUCUCUGGGCCGAUACUGACACUGAGGAGCGAAAGCGUGGGGAGCGAACAGG